rnacentral:tRNA from 2 species
GGGGUGUUAGCUCAGCUGGUUUAGAGCACUACCUUGACAGGGUAGGGGUCACUGGUUCGAAUCCAGUACAUCCCACAA